UCAGGACGAACGCUGGCGGCGUGCCUAAUACAUGCAAGUCGAACGAACUCUGGUAUUGAUUGGUGCUUGCAUCAUGAUUUACAUUUGAGUGAGUGGCGAACUGGUGAGUAACACGUGGGAAACCUGCCCAGAAGCGGGGGAUAACACCUGGAAACAGAUGCUAAUACCGCAUAACAACUUGGACCGCAUGGUCCGAGUUUGAAAGAUGGCUUCGGCUAUCACUUUUGGAUGGUCCCGCGGCGUAUUAGCUAGAUGGUGAGGUAACGGCUCACCAUGGCAAUGAUACGUAGCCGACCUGAGAGGGUAAUCGGCCACAUUGGGACUGAGACACGGCCCAAACUCCUACGGGAGGCAGCAGUAGGGAAUCUUCCACAAUGGACGAAAGUCUGAUGGAGCAACGCCGCGUGAGUGAAGAAGGGUUUCGGCUCGUAAAACUCUGUUGUUAAAGAAGAACAUAUCUGAGAGUAACUGUUCAGGUAUUGACGGUAUUUAACCAGAAAGCCACGGCUAACUACGUGCCAGCAGCCGCGGUAAUACGUAGGUGGCAAGCGUUGUCCGGAUUUAUUGGGCGUAAAGCGAGCGCAGGCGGUUUUUUAAGUCUGAUGUGAAAGCCUUCGGCUCAACCGAAGAAGUGCAUCGGAAACUGGGAAACUUGAGUGCAGAAGAGGACAGUGGAACUCCAUGUGUAGCGGUGAAAUGCGUAGAUAUAUGGAAGAACACCAGUGGCGAAGGCGGCUGUCUGGUCUGUAACUGACGCUGAGGCUCGAAAGUAUGGGUAGCAAACAGGAUUAGAUACCCUGGUAGUCCAUACCGUAAACGAUGAAUGCUAAGUGUUGGAGGGUUUCCGCCCUUCAGUGCUGCAGCUAACGCA
rnacentral:rRNA from 1 species